CUACAUAACAAUACCAAUACCAAUGCCUAACCGCCACUCGAGCAAAAGCUUGCCACAAAUACCCUCAAACCUGCAACCAAUCCCUAAUCCCAGACAUCAUAUCCGCCAACCACACAUUGUUUCCCACAUCGGAAAGAUGUACGCCAUCCUCUCAGUAGAGGGCCACAGCUGAACUGGAUGUUGGGGUGGUCAAUGACCCAACCCCCCAGAGCUGCCACUCUACAUGCCACCUAAUGUACCAAAAGCUUCCUGGGCUUUGUUUAUCGCAACAGGGCACCGACAUGCCUCGCCAGCAGUGGUGACCAAAUUAGGGUUGAAUCUGGCAAUGAGGCAAUCAGUUCAUUGAAAUCAUUGUAAAUGUCCCACAUCAAGUCCACGCCUUUCUGAUAGCCCAAGUCUAUGUGCACCACAAUGUCUCCUGAAAGCAAAAGAAGGUAACAAAGCCAGGUCAGAUAUACCAUGAACAAUCACAAGGUCUUACGAAUAUAUCCCUUAAAAGUAUUAGACUUCCACCGCCCCAAGUCCUUCAUCCAUUCAGCUGAGACUCCCAAAUGCAUUGCUCCCAAUUCGAAAGGCAAAUUCAGCUGGGGGUGAACCACAGGCAGCAAUCGCCCUUCGCAUAGCAGCAUGAACUGAUUCUGUGCAAGGUGGGAGCCAUCCAAAUGUAUGAGGAAUGGGCCUGAGACGGUUGAUCUCACGUACAUGAAAUGUCUAGUGCUCUUUACUGGGCAUGGCCCAUUGUGACUAGUUGUUUGGAGCCAAAUAAGGGCCCCCUUUCCCUGCUGAUCAGUUUUGGAACAUCGGACAUGCAGGACUAAAUUGGAUCUGGACAAGGUAAGGUCUCUCAAUAAACUUCCCCGGGCAGCGGAAUCUUGUUGGCCCUCACAAACCACUUCGCCAAUGUGCAGAGCGCCAAAGGAGGCGAUGGAGUAUGCAGCCAAAAAAUAACCGGGCCUUGUACUUAGACCAACAGAUACCUCUUUAUUGUUGUUGUUGUUGUUGUUGUUGUUGUUGUUGUUGUUGUUGUUGUUAUUUGGAUUUGGCAUAGACUGUCAUAAGUUAUGGGCCUUCUACCAUCACUGCUGGGAGGCUGCAGCCUGCGCCAGCCCCCCAGUGCCCUUCACACUAAGAAAUCCACACAAGGGUCUGUGGAGUAAAUAGCCUUACAGAAGGAGGAGAUUGCAGCUGACUGGAUGUUUAAGAGUCUUUGCUGUGUGACCCAGCUCCCUCAAAUGUACCAAGUAUUGCAGAACUUCAGCCUUGGUAGGGAGUGUGUCAAGCCUAGCAUUUUUUAAUUUGCUGUGUUGUUGUUGUUUAGUCGCCUGAACCUCUACCAUCUGCGCCUCUGCCGCUGCUGGUGGUGCCUUUGCCGCCUGAAUCUCUACCACCUGCGCCUCUGCACCUGCUACUGGUGCUUUCGCCACCUGAGCCUCUACCACCUGCAACUCUGCGGAUGCCUCUGGUGCCUCUGCCGCCUUAGCCUCUGCCGCUGAUGCCCCCACCGCCUGAACCACCUGUACCUCUGCUGUUGCCGCUGGUGCCUCCACUGCCUGAGCCGCUGCCACUGGUGCCUCUGCCGCCAGAGCCUCUAUUGCUUGGGCGUCUGCUGCUGCCGCUGGUACCUCUGCCGCCUGAAUCUCUACCACCUGUGCGUCUGCCACUGGUGCCUCCACCACCUGAGCCUCUACCAUUUCUGCCUCUGCCACUGCCGCUGGUUCCUCUGCCGCCUGAAUCUCUACCACCUGCACUUCUGCAGCUGCCGCUGGUGCUUUCGCCACCAGAGCCUCUUCCGCUGUCACUAGUGCCUCCAACUCCUGAGACUCUGCCACAUCAGGCCUCUGCUGCUCGCGCUUGUGCCUCCUCCGCCUGAGCCUCUUCCGCUGCCGCUAGUGCCUCCUCCACCUGAGACUCUAGCACCUGUUCCUCUGCCACUGGUGCCUUCAAUUGAAAUAAGCCCAAUGAAAGGUUAUUUGUCUUCUUUUUAUGCAGAUGGAAGCCAAAACACCUCUUUUGCUUUUUGGGGUGAUUCUGGUGCACACCCAAAAAACAACAUGUGAUUGGAAAUAAGAACAAUCAAAGCUUAUUCUUCUGUCUACGCAUAUGGAAGCGAAAACAAGGUGUUUUGUUAUUUUUGGACAUUACACUUUGCGAUUUCCCCUGAAUGUGCAUUAACACCAAAAAAACACGAAGCGAAUUGAAGUCAAAGCUUUCUAUCUAGAUAUAACACCAUGUUUUGUUAUUUUGGACAUUACACUUCGCUCUGCUUUUUUUUGGAUGAACACCGAAAAAACACGAAAUUAAAUAAACCCAGUCAAAGCUUAUUCGUCUUCUUUCUAAGCAUAUGGAAGGGAAAAGGUUUGUUUUGGACACACUGCAAUUUUGGGGUGAAUGUGCAUUCACACCAAAAAACACGGAUUUAGAUACCCCCAAUGGAACCAAAACACCCCAAAGAACAC
rnacentral:lncRNA from 1 species